ensembl:lncRNA
CUUCCUGCCCAGGGCUCUGUGGGCUGUGCCAGCUCCAUGGCCAAGAAACUUACUCACUCUCGGAACAAUUUCUCUUCUAUAUGGAAAGAACAUAUGCUUUUCCUGCUGUGGGAUGAGAAAGCUGAAGGAAAAGGCAGGGCGCUGGCCCAGCCCCAGCACUUUCCUUUCAAGCCACAUGUGUUUCGUGGCAGAACCUGGAGGCCUCUGCUUCAGGGAGGCCCCAGCAACAAAGUCUAAACCCAUGAUUGUAGGCUGGAGGCCCCAGCCCUUCUGCUGUCUCAUUUUCUGUAUUUGAGACCAGACUCAGUUUCUACUCUGGGUCCUGGAACAUCUCUGCUUCUCUGACCCCCACCCAUGUCUGGUAGAAGAUCUGGGGCCGGGGGGGGGGGGUUCCUGGAUGAGGGGCAGAUUUAAAAGAAGCAUUCUUUCUGUGAAGUUAGCAUCUUUCCUGGAGGGGACUCGGAAUGCCUGGGAUUGCACGGGACUGACUGGCGUGCCUCUGAAAGCCUACAAGUCUGGCAUGGAGUGCCGCUGAUAGAAGGGACAGACAGAACCUGCCGUGCACAGUCUGGGUUUGGCUGGUUUGUUUCUUGGCUGGGUGACUCUGAACAGAAUCUGUCCCCUCUCUGGUUCCUGAGAUAUAGCUGGAGAAGGACCGUGACACCCUCUAAGGGCUAGUAUGAGGGUCAGAGACAUUCCAAGCUCCAUCAACACACUCAAAGGGUGGCUCUGAGCAAGCAUGCUGCGGGGUUUGCUCUGGGUGGGAAACUGGCUGCUGCAGGAAGGAACGGCUCCAGUGUGGUAUCAGCUGGUCCUCUGACACAGUUAUAUCCUGUGGUACCUACUCCUUUGUCUCUAGUUAGAACACAUGUGUAAUUGCAUUCCUGGGCUUUUAUCUUAGAGAAACAAAACUGCGUGUUCACAACAAAAGCCCAAACACAAGUGUUUCUAGCAGCCCUCUUAUAAUACUCCCCAAGUGGAAACAACCUGGUGUCCAUGGAUGGAUGAAUGUUUAGAUAAACAUGCCAUGUCCAUAGCAUGUAAUUCUGCUCAGAAUGGAAAGGAACAAGCUAUUAACGCGCUCCACGACAUGUGUUAGUCUCCGGAGAAUUAUGUCAAAUGAAGAACCAGUCCCAACAGGUAGAGCCUGUAUGGUUCCAUUUAUUGAAAUGCCUUGAAAUGAUAGAUCUCUCAAAAUGAGAUUUUUAAAAAAGAUUUAAAAAAAAAUUAUUAUGUAUACAGUAUUCUUCCUGCUAGCCAGAAGAGGGCACCAGAUCUCAUUAAAGAUGGUUGUGAGCCAUCAUUGGUUGCUGAGAAUUGAACUUAGGACCUCUGGAAGAGCAGCCAGUACUCUUAACCUCUGAGUCCCUAUGAGACUGGUUUUGUAGUUGCCAGGGCCUAAGUCUGGAGGACAGUGUAGCAUCCUGAGAAGGGAGCCCUUUCAUGCCUUUAGGAUUCUUCACGCUCUACCUGAAAAUUUGUCUGUUAUCUCUUGACCCUGUUAGGAGAUGGGAGGAUUUCUCAGAGGAAGCUGGCCAAGCCAAUGGCAAUGACCUCCAACACUGCUGACUAGGAUCCUUGUAGUUUGGAAUCUAAGCUUUCCCCAAAUGCUCUUUAUUGACGUCUUGGUCUCACCCUGUGACGCUACUGGGAGAUUGUGGAAACUGUAGGAGAUGGAAUCUAAUGGAAGAGGCACCAUGACGUGAGCAGGGCUGGUCCACCACAUAUUACCCAGCGUGAUGCCUGGCCUCAUCUCAGGCUCUGAGUGACAGGGCCAAACAGUCAUGGACUGAGAACUCUGAAGUUGUUAGUCCAGGUAAGGCUUUCCUCUUCG